rnacentral:rRNA from 1 species
UAACGACCGGACGUACUCACCGGACGUAAGACAGCUCGGAUGAUAGCCGGGCUGAAGACUCUGCUUGACUAGCUGAGAGGAGGUGCAUGGCCGUCGUCAGUUCGUACUGUGAAGCAUCCUGUUAAGUCAGGCAACGAGCGAGACCCACGCCCACAGUUGCCAGCGUACUCUCUGGAGUGACGGGUACACUGUGGGACCGCCGCUGCUAAAGCGGAGGAAGGAAUGGGCAACGGUAGGUCAGUAUGCCCCGAAUAUCCCGGGCUACACGCGAGCUACAAUGGUUGGUACAAUGGGUAUCUACCCCGAAAGGGGACGGGAAUCUCCUAAAACCAAUCUUAGUUCGGAUUGAGGGCUGCAACUCGCCCUCAUGAAGCUGGAAUCCGUAGUAAUCGCGUUUCAACAGAACGCGGUGAAUACGUCCCUGCUCCUU